CACGUAGGGUGCAAGCGUUGUCCGGAUUUAUUGGGCGUAAAGGGCUAGUAGGCGGCUUAGCAAGUCGGGUGUGAAAACUUCAGGCUUAACCUGGAGCGGCCACUCGAUACUGCUAUGGCUAGAGUCCGGUAGGGGACCACGGAAUUCCUGGUGUAGCGGUGAAAUGCGUAGAUAUCAGGAGGAACACCGGUGGUGUAGACGGCUUCCUGGACCGUAACUGACGCUGAGACACGAAAGCGUGGGUAGCAAACAGG
rnacentral:rRNA from 1 species